rnacentral:rRNA from 1 species
GACGAACGCUGGCGGCGUGCUUAACACAUGCAAGUCGAACGGGAUUUAGUAAACGGAAGCCUCGGUGGAAGAUUACUAAUGGGAGUGGCGAACGGGUGAGUAACGCGUGAGCAACCUGCCUAUGACAGUGGGAUAGCCUCGGGAAACCGGGAUUAAUACCGCAUAAAAUCGUAGAAACACAUGUUUCAACGGUCAAAGAUUUAUCGGUCAUAGAUGGGCUCGCGUCUGAUUAGCUAGUUGGUGAGAUAACAGCCCACCAAGGCGACGAUGAGUAGCCGGUCUGAGAGGAUGAACGGCCACAUUGGAACUGAGACACGGUCCAAACUCCUACGGGAGGCAGCAGUGGGGAAUAUUGCACAAUGGGGGAAACCCUGAUGCAGCGACGCCGCGUGAACGAAGAAGGUAUUCGUAUCGUAAAGUUCUGUCCUAUGGGAAGAUAAUGACAGUACCAUAGAAGAAAGCUCCGGCUAAAUACGUG